AAUCUUUUCCAUUUGUAUGUUUGUUCAGUAUGAAUCUUUUCUCACUCAGAUGAACACAAAAAAUUCAUCUGAAUUUAGAAAAAUUUGACUUCAGAGCAACAUUUUACGUAUAUGUAUACUCUCUAAUAUUGUUGUCCAGUCAUCAGUAGCACUUCCUGCCAAUAUAUUGCAAAUAAUAUAGUAUCAAUAGAUUGUUAAAGAGUAGAUAUUUCCAAAGAAUAAUUAUUAAUUGAAACAAAUGUUUUCAAACUUAAUUCAAAAUUAUUUAACUUGCAUUUAUUAUUGAUUAAAUAUAAAAGUGAAAUUUUAUCACACAAAACAGUUUUGUUCAUCGAACUAAUUAACACUAUUUGCUAAACAUUUUAUUAUUAUUUUUUAAUUUCUAUUACAUAGCAAAGACUUUUGCAGUUUAAAAUUAUUGCAUUGCUCAAUUUAACAUCAAAACAAAGUCAAAUAUACAUUUUUGUUAUGAGGAGUAACUGCAAAGUUUUUGCAUUCAUGCUAGAACAAAAUCCUCCCCCCCCCCUUCCCCCCAUGUAACCUUGCUAAAAAUACUUCCAUUGCUGUGAGUGAAGAUUCGGACAGAGGGCAUUUUCAGCACUUAAAGUUUUUUUGUAAUUUCUUAUUAUAUAUCCAUAACUGUGUAGUUUUCCUCCAAUUUCCAUAGCAAGUACAGAAAUUUUGUAGCUGUUGGAUGAUGCUACUUUUGGAUUUGACUUGAGAAAAUUCAGGCAUGUUUAGAACAUUGAAGAGUGGUGAUGCUUUUGGACAUUGCUCAAAGACUUUUUGGUGAAAAUUAAGCAGUGAUAGUUACUUUUUGAUUUCACUUGAGAAUAUUCUGAUAUAUUGUGUAUAUUGACGAGUGGGUUAGUGUGGGUGAGGCCGACAUGCAAGAGAUGAUCGAUCUAGUGAAUGAGAUGGUUCCGACUAACGAUGCGAGGUUGUUGCCUGUUUAUAAAAGUUUCUUCAGCGAGGAAUUGAAAUCCUUCGCAAGGAAACGAGAUGGACUGCUAUGGUGUUUGCGGAAGAUGGAAGGAAUCCCCUAUCUGAUUGAGUUUGCCAUGACACUAUAUUUCAAAUAUGAUCGACUUAUGUGGCAGAUGGACAAAUGGACCAGAUUAGGGGAACUCGCCAUACAGUUCAUCUAUUCUUCCCCAGGGCCAGAAAGUUGUUUGGGAGAUUGCCCGACCUGUACAGAGCCCUUGCACAGAAAGGUUAUCAAUAGUAAAUUUUUUAGUCUUGCAUAAUAUGGAUUGUUUGCAUUUCCAUUCAGUUAUCAGGUUGACCUGUAAAAGUAAAACUCCGAAUCUUUAGGAUCUAUAUUAGAGAGAGGAUGGGUGAUUUUUAAAAUUUGAUGUUAAAAUAACUGCUUUACAGAACCAGGGGGUGAAAAUUCUUCAGGCAAGCACCUUGUAUAUUGUAAUAAUAAUCACUAGCUUCUCUUUCUUAUGGAAAUAAAAUAUGAUUUUGAUUUGAGGCCUAUUAUAAACAAUACAAGCAGAUGAUUCAAAUGUAUGUUGCCACACAAUGUCUAUCAGUUAUUUUCACUUUCAAAUUCUCAUCCUGGAAAAGAAUAUCAAAAGGUCUUGAAGAAACUCUGCGUCAGAGGUCUAUUCGUGUAGAUCUAAAUAUUGCCUCCUUCCAACAGUUAUGGGAGAUACUCCUGUUUUAUUUUAUUACAACAUAGUAAAGAAUGCACUAAUCAAAACCAAUGAAAUGGCAUUUAAAAGGAAACCUAGCUAUAAGUGCAGUAGAUAUUAUCUGGGAUCCUUAGAAUGAUAGAUUCAUAAUUCUUCGAAUCUAAAGAAAUAAUUGAUUUGGACACAAAAUAAUAAUGAUGGUUUCUUUCAAUAUGUUUACAGCAUUUUCUGGACUGAAUAAUAAAAAUCUACAAGCAGAUAUUUUUUACUUUCCAGAAAUUCCUUAAAGAGUCAAUAUCAGACAUAGAUAUGGAAAGUUUUUUUUUUUUUUUUUUUUUUUUUUUUUUGCACGGUUAUGUUUCACAUUAGUUAUUUAGAAUCUUUCAGGUUAUAACAAAGCAGAAAACAAUAAAGAAAUGGUGCAAAGUAUGCUGAAAAAUUUUGAAAAAUUGUAUUCCAAUAUAAGCAUAAAGGUUCAUUUUCUACAAAGUAAUUUGAACACAUCUUAAAAUCUAGGACAUAUCUGUAAUACACAAAAAAGAAAGUUCCAUCUGGAUACCAUAGUAAUGAACCAAAAACAUCAAAGUAAAUUUACUGCUUUUUCAUUCAUUCAUUUUGUUUAAAAAAAUUUUCUAACUUGCAUAUAAUAUCCAUUUGUAUACUGAUUUAAAUUUUUGAUUUAUAUAUUGAUUAUUUUUCACAAUAAAGACUG